rnacentral:lncRNA from 1 species
AGCGUUGAAUAAGUUCAAAGUGGUGCAGAAAAAAGCUCAAAAUUAGCCCAAAAGCAGACCAAAUUCAGCCCUUAAGUGGAAGCUGAAAUCAACAGCUCAAUCAAGUCCAAAUGGGACUCAAAAGCCACCACCAAGAGAGCCCACAAUGUCCUUAAUUCAGCCACAACCAAGCUAGGGUUUUAUUUAGAGCAACUUACAAG